GUCGAGCGGCAGCGGGGGGAAGCUUGCUUCCCCGCCGGCGAGCGGNGGACGGGUGAGUAAUGUCUGGGGAUCUGCCUGAUGGAGGGGGAUAACUACUGGAAACGGUAGCUAAUACCGNAUAACGUCGCANGACCAANGUGGGGGANCUUCGGGCCUCNCNCCNUCGGAUGAACCCAGAUGGGAUUAGCUAGUAGGUGAGGUAACGGCUCACCUAGGCGACGAUCCCUAGCUGGUCUGAGAGGAUGACCAGCCACACUGGAACUGAGACACGGUCCANACUCCUACGGGAGGCAGCAGUGGGGAAUAUUGCACANUGGGGGAAACCCUGAUGCANCCAUGCCGCGUGUGUGAANAAGGCCUUCGGGUUGUAAAGCNNUUUCNGCGGGGAGGAAGGGGAUAAGGUUAAUAACCUUGUU
rnacentral:rRNA from 1 species